GGGCAUGUGGUUUAGUGGUAUAGCAUUCGCUUAGCAUGAUCUGCGUGCGAAAGGUCCGGCGUUCAAUUUGCCGCUUGUCCA